rnacentral:lncRNA from 1 species
CGGGGACACUCUUUUAAGUCUCCCCGAGACAGAUCAAGCAAGAACACGGCCUCGACUUGGAACCUGCGGCGGGAACAGAGGUGAGCAAGGCCCGGGAAGGAAGGAAAGUGACGAGGGAGAAACUCGGACCAAGUCCAGAAGGAGCCGGGCGAGGAGACUCAACCCUCCGGGCGGGCGCAGCUUCGGUCCUUGCUGGCCAGGGAGGCGGGGCCUCCACGCCGAGCGCGGAGAGGGGCGGAGCCUCUACGCCAAGCGCGAGAGGGGGCGGGGCCUCGCUGGAAGCUGGACCGGGAAACCUGGAUCCCGGAGCGGGCGCGAGGUGGCGCCAACGCGCAGAGGCUGAGCGAGUUGGUUCUGGAUCUCUAGACCCGGGUUCAAAUCCCGGCUCUGCUGCCUACGCGCUGUGUGACCUGGGGCGAGUAAUCAACCUUUCUAUGCUCCAGUUUCCCUCAUGUGCGAAGUGAACGUGAUUCACUCAAAAACUAGUUGCACCCGCUUGGAAUUUUGAGAUCUGCAGGGAAGUUGGCACUUGCUUUAUUUUGGUAGUUGGUGCACCCCCCCCCCCUUUUUAUUUUUAAUCAAUGAUGAGUUACAGCUGCACCCCUUUUAAUAGUCUUUCCAAAUGAGCAACAAUAACCGGUGACCUAGUGGAUCUUGUGUAUUACAUAUUUGGGGUUUUCUCCUUUAAUGCGUUCUUAUUUCAAUAACAACGACAGUGACAACAUUUCUUUCCUUUGUGCACUUGGCUUUUAUUUCUUUUAUUCUGUUUUCUUUGCCUUUAUUGUGCUGUUCUUUCCUAGCACUUGAGAUUGACGUUCGAGUGCUGGUUUUCAGCCUUUUCUUUCCCCACAUUUCUAUUUAAGGCUUUAUGGAUUCUGUAUAGGAUCUCUGUGUGGCUUCCAUGUGACAAAAAAGCCCAGUGUGCUGAGACCAUUUCAGGCACACAAAAAGAGAUCAGCAGUUUGCUAAUGAAGAUGUUGGUUUGGGUUAUUGUUGUUGUUGUUAUUAUCAUUAUUGGUGCUGAGGAUUGAACCCAAGGGCUCUGACCACUGAGCCACGGUCCCCACACCUUUUUGAUUUUUAUUUUGAGACCGGGUUUCACUAAGUUGCUGAGGGCCUCCCUAAGUUGCUGAGGCUGGCUUUAAACGCGCGAUCCUCCUGCCUCAGCCUCCGGAGCUGCUGGGAUUACAGGCGUGCGCCCCAGUGCCCUGCAGGAUUAUUAUUAUUAAUCAGGGAUCUUGAAGACGGAGAAAGAUUCAGGGCAAGAGGCCUGAACCAGCCGUUGGUGAGUUUCCUACAGCAAUCAUAACAAAUGACUGAAACUCAGUGGCUUAAGACGUCACGUUUAUUCUUGCAGUUCUGGGCAUCAGGAGUCCAAACUGGGCCUCACUGGGCUGACGUGAAGGUGUCACAGGGCGGGUUCCUCUGGAGUGUGUGUGGGGGGAGGCCUUUUCCUUGGGGUUUCUGGCUUCUGGAGGCCACCCGCCUUCCUCCUUCAUCAAAGCCGGCAGCAUCUUCAAAUCCCUUCCCAUAUCCUCCCCUUCUGCCUCUCUCUUCCUCCUUAAAGGAUCUGGGUAAUUGCUUUGGACUCCCCUAUAGAAUGCAGGGUGAUUCCCAUAGUGACGUUCUGCUUGGAAUAAGUGUCCCCUGAAGGCACGUGUAUGAAAGGCCUGGUCACCAGCCCUUGGUGCUGUUGUGAGGGGGUGGAACUUAAGAGGUGGAGCCUGGUUGGAGUCCUGGGUCACAUGGGGUGGUCCUGGUCCUGAGUCUCUCUCUCUCUCUCUUUAGCACCUGGGUGCCAUCAGGUGAUCAGCUUAACUUUCUCACAUGCUCCCGCCAUGACGUCCUGUCCUGCUAUAGGCCCCAAACCACCACCCACUGACCAUGGGCUGCAACCUCCCAAACUGUGAGCCAAAAUCAGCCUUCUCUCCUUCUAAGUCGGUUAUCUAAGGCAUAACCAUCGUGGAAAGUGGAACAACCCACCCCCUAUCCAUGGGCGAUAUGUUCCAAGAACCCCACUGGGGGUCUGAGACCACAGAUGGUACCCACUCUGUACGUGCUCUGUUAUUUCCCUCUACAUACAGACCUACGAUGAAAUUCAAUGACAUUUCCAUCUUGACUAAGAGCUUAUCGUGCGUGCACUGUGGCUGUAAUUUUUGCAGUUUGAGGUGCCACAGAAAAACCAGCGUGAAUUUCCUUUUCCUUUUUUACAAAUUCACAGAUAGAAGAUUGGUUUUCAGCAGCUCUUAGCAACCUCAGUGUAGGACUUUUUUUCUUUGCUUAUUAAGUCAAGAGCAUUCACCUUUUCACUUAAAGCAAACAUUUUAUGGCUUCUCUUUGACAUAUCUGAAUUGCUGGCAUCAUUACUCUUGUGUUUUGGGGAAAUUUUUAAGAAAAAUGGAUGUUUCCGAACACAAAGACUGCAAUACUAUGACAGUUAAUCUGAUAACCAAGAGAACUACUAAGUGAUUAACGGGCAGGUAGCAUAUACAUCGAGGAUACACUGGACAGAGGGAAGAUUCACGUCCCAGGCUGGAUCAAGAAGGACUGCACAAGAUUACAUCCUGCUACUCAGAACACAGUGUGCUAAAAAAAAAACUUAUGAAUUGUUUAUUUCUGGAAUUUUCCAUUUAAUAUUUUCAGACCACAGUUGGCUAUGAGUAGCUGAGACCAUGGGAAGUGAAACUAUGGAAGAAGGAGGACGCCUGUAUUUUAAGAUCAGCUGAUUAGUGACUUAAUUUCGUCUGUAAACUCAACUUCCUUCUUGCUGUCUAACUUAAUCACAGUUCUAGUGACAUCUCUGGGGGCCAUUAUUCUGCCCACAGAUAAGUAUUUGGUUUUACCGCUAAUGAGGAAUAUUUUUCUUUUUCAUAUCAAGAGAGAGAAUUGCCGAGGCCAUCUGGGGCUUCCCCGUGGCAGAGCCCAAGCUUCAUGUGUCUUGUGCUUGAUCAUCAAUAAGUGGCUUCCUCUUCAUGGUCUUAGGUGGCUGCUUGGGCUCCAUCCUUCACGCCUGCGUCAUGACCAACUCAUGGAAGAAGAGAAGGAGGGAGAGAGCUGAAGGGGGCGCUCAUCCCAGAAGUGACGUAGGUGACACACCUCUCUAUGUCUUGCUGUCAGAGUUUAGCUCUAGCUGAGUCUGGACUCAGGUCAGCCCUUGGCCUGGCCACAAUCAAGUUCCCUAUUACUGAAAAAAGAACAGAUAUUGAGGACCUGUCCCAAAGGUUGGUAAGAGACAGGUCGGGUGGAUGACAGGGAGUCAGACAGGGCGCAGGUCUCCAGGAAAAGGGAAAUCUAGACUUUCUACAACUGGGUGCACAGAGGAGGGGAACAGUAGUAGCUCGCGGUCUCUGAAGAUCGCCAGGGCCUGUCCAGGAACCUGCACAUGUGCCCUUAUUUGGCAGAAAGGACUUUGCGGAUGUGCUUGAGUUGAGGAUCUGGCAAGGAGGAGAGUGUCCUGGAGUAUCUGAGUGAACCAUAAAUGGAAUCACAAGUGUCCCUUUUAAGAGGACACAGGGCUGGGCACGGUGGUUGGGAAAGCAUCCCCAGCAGCGGGAACAGAGGGAACAGCCAAUGCAAAGGAACAUUUGAGGACUGGCAAGGGGUUUGUGGCGUCAGAGUGAAGAGGUAGGUGGAGAGCCAGAGAUGAGGUCAGAGGGGGGACCUUUGUCUCUCUGAUUAAGUUGGCAUGGACUCACCCCAAGCAAGACAGAGCCAUGGGACGGCCACGCCCCCUGAAGUCCCACUCUGAGAAGUGGACCAUCCUUGGUCUGAGCCUGCUGGGUCAUCUUGGUCCCUUGCCAGUGACUGUUUAGGUUAGGGCAUGUGACACCAUUUUGAGCAACACAACAAUCGUUUACUCCUCCAACAAACACUUACUGUCAGGCACUGUUCUGGGCCCUGGGAAGGAGCAAAGCAGCUGAGAGCCCCCGCCUGGGGAACUUCCCUUCUAGCAGGGAGAGAGAGACGGCCAUGAGCCCCGGGAUGAGCGGCUUGACUGUGGGCUGGGGGUGGUCCACGCUGGGAGGAGAGCACAGGGCAGGGACCGUCAGGAGCCGUGUGUCAGGGUGGAGUGUCAAAAAAAAAAUUCUUUUUGGUACCAGGGAUGGAACCCAAUGGCACUCAACCACCGAACCCCAUCCUCAGCCCUUUUUUUUGUAUUUUAUUAGAGACAGAGUCUUGCUGAGUUGCUGAGGCUGGCUUUGAACUCGCGAUCCUCCUGCCUCAGCCUCCCGAGCCGCUGGGAUUACAGGCAAGAGACAAGGCACCCAGCCGGAGUCGUGAUUUUUAAUGAGAUGUUAGCGUAGGUCAAAGGGGAUUCUGAUAAGAGGCUGUUGGGGAAGGGUUUCCUUCACAGUGAGACACACAGUAAAGUCUGUCCCUUUUCUUCUUCUGGACCUUGCCAGGGCAUGGAAUGCCUGUAACUUGUGACCGUGAGGAACUCCCAAUUUGAGGAUGCGGAGGACGCUGAGCCCGAAGAUGGGAAGAGUCUCAAUUAUUGUAACACUGGUGCGAUGUCCUGAGUUAACCAGCCCUGAUCGACCUCACCCCAGACUUCCUGUUACGGGAGAUCACAAAUUCCUGCUUCUUUAUUUACUUGUUUGUUUGUUUGUUUAUGUGGUGCUGGGGAUUGAACCCAGUUCCUCACAUGUGCUAGGCAGGUGCUCUACCACUGAGCCCCAGCCCCAGCCCCAAUUCCUGCUUUUUAAAGCAAGUUGAGUUGGGUUCUCUCUUAAGACAACAUCCUGAUGAAUUUAUUUAUGUCUCAUAAUGCAAGAAGAUGGCUCUAAUUGUUCAUAUGUAAUGUGAGGUUUCAUUUAAAAAAAAAGAGAGAGAGAAAGCAACCUGUCAGUGCUGGAGAAGUUAACAGGUAUCCAUCAAAGACCAGGGAUCAGCCAGCUAUAGUGGCGCACACCUGUCAUCCCAGAGGCUUGGGAGGCUGAGACAGGAGGAUCGUGAGUUCAAAGCCAGCCUCAGCAACUUAAUGAGACCCUAAGCAACUCAGUGAGACCCUGUCCCCAAAUCAAAUAUAAAAAAGGGCUGGGGAUGUGGCUCAGUGGUUGAGUGUCCCUGAGUUCAAUCCCAGGUACAAAAAGAAAAAAACAAACUAAAAAAAUAAAAUGGGCAUCAAAG